AAAGAUUAUAGCAAACACCACUGAAACGGAAUUGGUGCUCCCUAGCUUUGCAAAUUCAGCUAUUGUUGGAAGCCAGCCAAUAUGAAACAAACUAUUAAAAUUACAAAAGGUUGCAGCAUAUGUUGUGUAAAUGGUGAACUCAUACAGCUGUCAACUCUUGUCAUUUUAAUCCGUUUCACAUUUGCUAGCUACCUUUUAGAUCGAAGCCCAAAUAGAAUGAUAGAAGAUAAGAUGAUAGAAGCCCAUCUCCUACUGUAAAUAACCUACACGCUGUGUGUGUGUGUAGCCAGCCAGCCAGGUAGAAAAAUGGCAGAAAAAAAAAAAAGACGGACAUCAGAGUAUUUUUCAGUACACCAAAACGCAAAGUAAGAACCCUAGUAGCCUAAUAUCUCAAAGACUAGUUGAUAAAAUGUUCAUAAGAAAGAAAUCAAAUUCUAAUGGAAAUGUUUCACAAUGAUGUCAUUAGGCAGAGCAGGCAACAGAUGGCAAACAGACAGCAGAGUUGGGGACAGAUAUGCAGGGACAGACUGGCAGAGACAGGGAGUCUCAGUGCCCCCCAGAGUUUCACAGCAAACAUGCCGGAGUCACUGCCAGAAUCUGUGACGGUUCAUCCAGGAGCACCUGUGUCUUCACUGACAGAUUGAUGACUUCAAUCAGUAACACCAAAACUCGCUAUAGCUCGAUUGAAAUUCAAAGGCAAUGUUCUCGAAGACUGGAAAUGACCUUUACAUUUCAAGCGCGCUAUUUUCAGCAAUCACAAUCCUUGUAAAAACGUCAACUCAUGGUAUAACUAAUAACGUUUUUUUACAUUUUAUUAUGUCAGUGUGGUUAUAAGCCGCUAUAGCUCUGAAGUUCGAGUGUGUGUGUGUGUGUGUGUUGUAGUAGUAGGC
rnacentral:lncRNA from 1 species